CUGGAGGUAAAAGACAAGGAGAAAAAUGUUUAAAAGAAUCAAGAGGAAAAAUGAUGAGUCACUUACAAGGAAACCCAAUAAGACUGACAGCUGGCUUCCAGGAGAAACAAAGGAGGCCAGAAGGCAGUGGGAUAGCACAUAGAAAGUGCUGAAGGAAAAAACUGUUAACUAAGAAUUCUAUAUUCAGGAAAGGUACUGUUCAAAAAUGAAGAAAAAAUAAAGACUUUGCCAGAUAAACAAAAAUUGAGAGAAUUCAUUGCUAGUAGACCUGAUUUACAAGAAAUACUAAAGAAAGUUCUUCAGGCUGAAAACAAGUGACCCCAGUAAAGGUACGGGAAGAUUACAGAAGAUGGAUUACCAGGAAGACCACACCCGGAUCCCAGUCCCAGACAUCAGGGGUCAUACUGACAUCCUUUGCCUUCACUUCCAAAACGGGUUAAAGCUCUUUCUUGCUUUCAAAUACGCUAUGAAGCAACAUUUGAGGACAGCAGGUGCCGGCAGGAGCUGACGCUGAAAUCUUCUCUUCAUGGCUUAAUGUGGAAUUGCAGAUCUCACCAGCCCCAGGACUCUCUGGGUGAUUCAGAGCACUGAUGGGUGGGGCGUUCU